ensembl:lncRNA
GUAUUGUGUCAGACAAAUCAGUAUUUAAGGUCUUUUUUUAAAGAAAUGGACGCCGUGUGCUCCAGACCGAAGAAGAAAAGGACCAUCUGUUACGUUAACAGCAAGCAGUUACAGUUAGAAUUCUGGGUUUCCUCAGUGUCACUCACAUUACAUCACUGACUAGAAUGUUGUGAGAAUUCUACUUUGACCUGAGAAUUCUACUUUGAACUUUAAAAUUCUACUUUGACAUAGAACUCUUUCAGUUGCACCUGGCUGAGACAGAGACAACAUUACAAAGCGCUUGCUGCCAACAAUUUCACCCUAUAUUGAUUAUUGAUUGUUGAUUUUUGACUUGAUUGACUACCUUAUAUAUUUAAUUGAUUUAUUUAGUUUGAUUGCUUGUUUGUAAUAUUUACUGGGAGUUUUUUUUUGACGGUAAGAGAUUUUUAAGAGGUGAGUAAAAUUUAGCAAAAAAAGGAUUUGUUAGCAGGACAUUAGAGAUGAGGACGAACAGUAGCUACUCUGGCAGCGAGGACAAGAUGAGAAGACAGAUGAGCUGGGCCGAGCAAGUCGACAUCGCUUACCCCCUGGAUGAGUGCUGGAGUGAGAGCUGCCUGACAGAUCCCCAUGUCUGCAUGGAGGACCACCUCAUACCCAGGAAGAGGUCAGGAGAGAGGAGGCCUAAGCACGUCACCUUUGACCUGAAUCCCCAUGUCUGCAUGGAGGACCACCAAAUACCCAGGGAGAAGUCGGGAGAGAGGAGGCCUAAGGAGGUGGUCACCCUGGACCAGGCUCAGGACCACUGGAACACCUUUGACCUGAGUUGGCUGGACACCGUUGGGCCGGAUUGGCUCAGGAACGCAGAGGAGCUGACCCCAAAGGGGCAAAUAGACAUACUAUCAAGUCUCCUGUAUACGGGACAUCCCAGCACUCUGUUCACAAGAGUUGUUAACAGCAGACAGAAUGUUGGAGGGUACUGCUAUGUCCAUUCCACAGUUCCACCUGUCUUCUGUACAUGAGGAUAUAGGAGGAGAGGGGAGGGGAGGGACAGAACAUAUCCAUAUGUG